UGCCGGCCUGAGAGGGUGAUCGGCCACACUGGGACUGAGACACUGCCCAGACUCCUACGGGAGGCUGCAGUCGAGGAUCAUUGGCAAUGCGCGAAAGCGUGACCAUGCGACGCUGCGUGGAGGAUGACGGCCUUCGGGUUGUAAACUCCUGUCAUUCGGGAAAAACUGUCCCGAUAUUAAUAGUAUUGGGAUUUGAUGGUACCGAAAGAGGAAGCCACGGCUAACUCUGUGCCAGCAGCCGCGGUAAUACAGAGGUGGCGAGCGUUGUUCGGAUUUACUGGGCGUAAAGCGUGCGUAGGUGGUUUUGUAUGUCGGAUGUGAAAGCCCACGGCUCAACCGUGGAAUUGCAUCCGAAACUGCGAAGCUCGAGUGCAGGAGGGGAGAGCGGAAUUCUUGGUGUAGCGGUGAAAUGCGUUGAUAUCAAGAAGAACACCGGUGGCGAAGGCGGCUCUCUGGAAUGCUACUGACACUGAGGCACGAAAGUUGGGGUAGCAAACAGGAUUAGAUACCCUGGUAGUCCCAACCGUAAACGGUGCACACUUGGUGUGGGGGGAAUUGACCCCCUCCGUGCCGGAGCUAACGCGUUAAGUGUGCCGCCUGGGGAGUACGGCCGCAAGGCUAAAACUCAAAGAAAUUGACGGGGGCCCGCACAAGCGGAGGAGCAUGUGGCUCAAUUCGAUGCAACGCGAAGAACCUUACCAGGGCUUGACAUGUAUCUGCAAAUCCUGUGAAAGCAGGACUCUUUCGAAGGUGAUACACAGGUGCUGCAUGGCUGUCGUCAGUUCGUGCCGUGAGGUGUUGGGUUAAGUCCCGCAACGAACGCAACCCUUGUGUUUAGUUGCCACCGCAGGUGAUGAGCCUGCGAGCACUCUAGACAGACUGCCCGUACAAGCGGGAGGAAGGUGGGGACGACGUCAAGUCAGUAUGGCCCUUACGCCCUGGGCUGCACACGUGCUACAAUGACUGGUACAGAGGGAAGCAAUACCGCGAGGUGGAGCAAAUCCCCAAAACCGGCCUCAGUUCGGAUUGGAGUCUGCAACUCGACUCCAUGAAGUUGGAUUCGCUAGUAACGGCGUAUCAGCUACGGCGCCGUGAAUACGUUCCCGGGCCUUGUACACACCGCCCGUCACAUCAUGAAAGCCGUCUGCACCCGAAGUCGCUGAGCUAACUUUAACGAGAGGCAAGUGCCGAAGGUGUGGGUGGUGAUU
rnacentral:rRNA from 1 species